rnacentral:tRNA from 1 species
AGCCUCGAGGUGUCUUACACAUCAGAUUGCAAAUCUGGAGAAGCAGGAUAAGGCCCUGCCUGGGCUU